AGUGAACGCUGGCGGCAGGCCUAACACAUGCAAGUCGAACGGCAGCACAGAGGAGCUUGCUCCUUGGGUGGCGAGUGGCGGACGGGCGAGGAAUGCGUCGGAAUCUGCCUAUUUGUGGGGGAUAACGUAGGGAAACUUACGCUAAUACCGCAUACGACCUACGGGUGAAAGUGGGGGACCGCAAGGCCUCACGCAGAUAGAUGAGCCGACGCCGGAUUAGCUAGUUGGCGGGGUAAAGGCCCACCAAGGCGACGAUCCGUAGCUGGUCUGAGAGGAUGAUCAGCCACACUGGGACUGAGACACGGCCCAGACUCCUACGGGAGGCAGCAGUGGGGAAUAUUGGACAAUGGGCGCAAGCCUGAUCCAGCCAUGCCGCGUGUGUGAAGAAGGCCUUCGGGUUGUAAAGCACUUUUGUCCGGAAAGAAAUCCAAUCGCUUAAUACUCGGUUGGGAUGACGGUACCGGAAGAAUAAGCACCGGCUAACUUCGUGCCAGCCGCCGCCGUAACAC
rnacentral:rRNA from 1 species